rnacentral:rRNA from 1 species
UACAGAGGGUGCUAGCGUUGUUCGGAAUCAUUGGGCGUAAAGGGCGUGUAGGCGGUUUGUUGCGUCGACUGUGAAAACCUGCGGCUCAACCGUGUGGUCUGCAGUCGAUACGGGCAGGCUGGAGUUCGGUAGGGGAGACUGGAAUUCCUGGUGUAGCGGUGAAAUGCGCAGAUAUCAGGAGGAACACCGGUGGCGAAGGCGGCAUCCUGGACCGGCAUUGACGCUGAGGAGCGAAAGCCAGGGGAGCAAACGGG